AAUACCUGACUACUUUCGAAGUUGGAAAAACCUCCGGGCCUUGUAAGAGAUCUCUUUUAUUGCACUUUUUAAAUUCUCAACUGAAAUAUUUUCAUGUGUAAUCCUAAAUCCAUCAAAUAUGUUGUUUACAGAGAGAUGCAAGCGAGUGGUCUAGAAGGCCCCCUUCCAUCUAGUCUCUCUGCCUUGAAUAAUAUGACAGAUCUAAGGAUUAGUGACUUAAGCGGUGAGAGUUCUGCUUUGCCAAACUUAUCAAGCAUGACGGGCAUUAAUAAAUUGUGAGCCAUAUUUUAGGUUUUAUAUCAUAUAUACUAAAACCCGUAAGGGCUGAUCACUGUGGAUGACCAGUGUGUGGACGUUUUUGCCCCUCCAUUUUUCCUCUGUCUCGCUUGCUAUGUCCAUAUUUGUACAGUCGAAUGACUGUUUUGCCCAUUCACUCCACGCGUCCGUCAUCGACUCACCCUCUAUUUGGGUUGCGUCUUCUGGAUUUUUCUGUUUGUUUCCGCCGGUCUCUCACACAUCUCAGUUCUAUUGUUCUGCAACUCACCCUUUCUCGCUAUCCCUUUUUGCCACCGCUCCGAUUCCGCCUGUGUUGACAGCCUUCAAACUAUAGAAAUCAUCAUUGAUCAAGCUUCUAUUUCAACUGUGGCCUGUUAAUUUUUGUCUUCAUCUGGCUGAUUCCAGCUGUGUUCGCACCCUUCAAAACCUAAAUACCAAAAUUCAGAUCAGUUUUCUGAAGCUUGGGUUUGAUUUUGUUCCGCUUCGUUCUGCUCCUCGCCUUCCUGUUUAUUUUCCAAGAAAUAUUGAAUGUACCCAUAACUUGCCUUCCUCUUUCGGUUUCCAACUUUAAAUUUUAAGACCAAGUCCCUCACCGGACGAGGAUCUAGAUCCGACCGACAAACGUUGGAGUAUUUAACAGAUAGGCAACUAGCUUUGAGAUAUAAGGAGAGGAAACUAAGGUAUCCAAAUUACCUAGAAACAGAGGUCUAACGGUUUCAGACCCAAGAACAGAAGCAACUCUGUGUGCAUCACCCACCCAAGAACAGAAGCAGCUCUGUGGGCAUCACCUUGGAAACUGUGGGUGGCAUCUGUGCAGCCAUCAAAUCGUUUAUAAACAACCAGAAGACUAUCCAAAACAGGCUUUUAUCUGAGGUGUUGUAGCUGCUGAAUUUUGUCAACAGUCUGUUCAUUCAGAUUCAUAUUGGGAUGUUCAUGCUUUCAAUAUUUUGUCCUUGCACCAGAAAGUAAGUAUUAUUCCAAGAAGCUGAAAAGGAAUCAGUGGCUAACAAAGUCAGUAGCAAUCGAUCAAAAAAUGAUAUUCAUCCUUGGUAGUUGAAUCUUCCUUAUGCUCUGGGUCCUUUGGUACAAAAGAGUUUCAACACCUGGGCAGUUACAACGAUCGUUGAGUACUUACAUCUGCUUCCUUAUGCUGCAAUUUUGUCAGACUGAUAUCCCAGGAUGUUAAGGAGCUGCAAUAUAACCGGAGAAAUGCCUGAAUAUAUCUCUACCUUGACAAGUCUGACUGUUUUAUCUUAGCUUCAACAGACUGGAAGGGAGUAUUCCAAAUUUUGCAGAUAUUAAGGAAUUGGCCACAAUGUAAGGAAUAUAACUCAUAAGGGUAGCUAACACACAAGAUGAUGCAUGGAGGCACUUCCGGCCAAACCACGGCAAAUUAGCCAUCGAAAAAGAUACCAUUCUCUUCAUCUCGUUGAGAAGUAUGAUUUUCAUUUUUGAAUCACUCAAUUUCGUUGAGUAUUAAAGAAGUUAUGAACGUUUAAAGUUUACUUAGUUUCCAGCUAGUUUCCUUUUUUCCCGUGGACCAGUCACCUUUCAGGCUAUUUUCCGUCCAUCUCCAGCAUCCAUUGGGCUUCCAAAUAUGUAUAAUCUUGUUUUACACUU